CAGGACGAACGCUGGCGGCGUGCCUAAUACAUGCAAGUCGAACGGUCUUUCUAUGGAAGCUUGCUUCCACUGAGAAGAUAGUGGCGAACGGGUGAGUAACACGUGGGUAACCUGCCCAUAAGAGGGGGGAUAACAUCCGGAAACGGGUGCUAAUACCGCAUAGUUUUCUUGAUUGCAUGAUUGAGAAAGGAAAGACGGCCUUUGUGCUGUCGCUUAUGGAUGGACCCGCGGCGUAUUAGUUAGUUGGUGAGGUAACGGCUCACCAAGACGAUGAUACGUAGCCGACCUGAGAGGGUGAUCGGCCACAUUGGGACUGAGACACGGCCCAAACUCCUACGGGAGGCAGCAGUAGGGAAUCUUCCGCAAUGGACGAAAGUCUGACGGAGCAACGCCGCGUGAGUGAAGAAAAGGUUUUCGGAUCGUAAAACUCUGUUGUCAGAGAAGAACAAGUUGGAGAGUAACUGCUCCAGCCUUGACGGUAUCUGACCAGAAAGCCACGGCUAACUACGUGCCAGCAGCCGC
rnacentral:rRNA from 1 species